UUCUGCCUCCAGAUUCCUGCUGAGUUCCUGCACUGACUUCCCUCAUGGAUGGAUGAUGCACUGUGGUUGAGACAUAUAAUCUGAAUACACCCUUUCCUCCCACAAGUUGGUUUUGGUAAAGGCAUUUAUUCCAGCAAGAGGCAUGAAACUACGACAGCAAGACUACAGCCAAGAGUUCUGAAGGGAGAGUGCCUGCACUGUGGAACUCCUGUUUUCCCUUUCAAGCUUCCUGAUCAGUUUCAGGACUUGACAUCAGAAUGUCUCAAGCGUGAUAGAAAUGUUGGAUCGUGGCCCCAAGGAAAUGUGCUGUCCUGGAUUCACUUUCCAUGUUGAGUUCUAGUUUCUUGUCAUUUUAUCAACCUUGCAUUGGGAACAACUGAAGCUUAUCAACACUGAGGAAUUCCACUGUUGCAGUUUUCAUUUGCAGAUUGUGGCUUAGGUGUCACAUCUAUGGAAGCUUUGCCUAAUUCCAGUCCCAAGGAUUUUCUUCUGUGCUUUCUGCUAGAAGAUGUAUAAGUUUAGUGUUUAUAUUUACACACUGGAUCAAAUUUGAGUUGAAUUUUUAUGAUACAAUAAAGUAGUCAUACUUUAUAUUUGUGUGUAUGGAUAUUAACUUGCCCAUGAACAAUUUGUUAUAUAUUGUCUUUCUUCUACUGAACUGCUUUUAUGUUUGUCAAACAUCAGUUAUCCAAGGAGGAAGGC